AGCGGCAGCACGGGUACUUGUACCUGGUGGCGAGCGGCGGACGGGUGAGUAAUGCCUAGGAAUCUGCCUGGUAGUGGGGGAUAACGCUCGGAAACGGACGCUAAUACCGCAUACGUCCUACGGGAGAAAGCAGGGGACCUUCGGGCCUUGCGCUAUCAGAUGAGCCUAGGUCGGAUUAGCUAGUUGGUGAGGUAAUGGCUCACCAAGGCGACGAUCCGUAACUGGUCUGAGAGGAUGAUCAGUCACACUGGAACUGAGACACGGUCCAGACUCCUACGGGAGGCAGCAGUGGGGAAUAUUGGACAAUGGGCGAAAGCCUGAUCCAGCCAUGCCGCGUGUGUGAAGAAGGUCUUCGGAUUGUAAAGCACUUUAAGUUGGGAGGAAGGGCAUUUACCUAAUACGUAAGUGUUUUGACGUUACCGACAGAAUAAGCACCGGCUAACUCUGUGCCAGCAGCCGCGGUAAUA
rnacentral:rRNA from 1 species